UGGAUCUCUGCAUCAGUCAUUGACUAUAGCUGACUCUGAGAUUUUCUGGAGGAGGAAGCUUCCAUUCUGCUGACAAUGAAGGUUCUUGUCCCCAAUUGGUUUUUGAUCUAUCAAUAAAGAUGACAGUAGCCAAUGGAUGAGAAGGGAGCAGAACACUGAGAGGACACAGGAGAUAAAGCCAACCAAUUUUUGGAACCAAACCCAGAUUGGAGCACUGCAUAAACUCCACAUUUCAGCUAUACCAAUGACUGCCACAAAUGCAGACAGUUCCCUGAGCGCUAAUUCCCCUAUUACUCCUUGAGGAAGCUUGACGUCCGGGCAAAGGAAGUUAACUGAAAGACUGGCAAGAGAUCCUUCAACUGCUGUGAAAGUAGGUACAUACGUGGAGGCCGAGCGAAGCCUGCUGCCACAGGAGCUCAGCUUUCCUGCUCAUCACUUCCUCAUGGUCCUCCCUGUGAGGAUGUGAGAAGCUUCACACAACAGGAGUGAACCCUCAGGUGACUGAUACCACCACUGUUGUGAUCUUGGAUUCUUCACCUUUCAAAACUAGGAGCAAUAAACCUGUUAUCUAUAAACUACCCAUUUUUUUUCUUUCUUUUCCUGCCCCCUUUUAUUUUAUUUUUUACCCAUUUUUUUCAUUAUGCCAGCUGAAUGAACAAAGAUACUGUUUUCCUGAAUUUCUACUAUGCACUAAAAUUAAAUACUAUACUAUGAACUUGAAAUUCUUCCAAGCUUGCAAAUAAAAAUAUUUUCUCUU